rnacentral:misc_RNA from 1 species
GAUGAAGAACGUAGCGAAAUGCGAUAAGUAAUGUGAAUUGCAGAAUUCAGUGAAUCAUCGAAUCUUUGAACGCACAUUGCGCCCGCUAGUAUUCUGGCGGGCAUGCCUGUCCGAGCGUCAUUUCAACCCUCAAGCCCCCGGGCUUGGUGUUGGGGAUCGGCGAGCCUCCGCGCCCGCCGUCCCCUAAAUCUAGUGGCGGUCUCGCUGUAGCUUCCUCUGCGUAGUAGCACACCUCGCACUGGGAAACAGCGCGGCCACGCCGUUCAACCCCCAACUUCUGAACGUUUGACCUCGGAUCAGGUAGGAAUACCCGCUGAACUUAAGCAUAUCAAUAAGCGGAGGA